CCUACGGGAGGCAGCAGUGAGGAAUAUUGGACAAUGGACGAGAGUCUGAACCAGCCAAGUAGCGUGAAUGAUGACUGCCCUAUGGGUUGUAAACUUCUUUUAUAUGGGAAUAAAAUGUUCCACGUGUGGGAUUUUGUAUGUACCAUAUGAAUAAGGAUCGGCUAACUCCGUGCCAGCAGCCGCGGUAAUACGGAGGAUCCGAGCGUUAUCCGGAUUUAUUGGGUUUAAAGGGAGCGUAGGUGGAUUGUUAAGUCAGUUGUGAAAGUUUGCGGCUCAACCGUAAAAUUGCAGUUGAUACUGGCAGUCUUGAGUACAGUAGAGGUAGGCGGAAUUCGUGGUGUAGCGGUGAAAUGCUUAGAUAUCACGAAGAACUCCGAGUGCGAAGGCAGUUCACUGGACUGCAACUGACACUGAGGCUCGAAAGUGUGGGUAUCAAACAGGAUUAGAUACCCCAGUAGUC
rnacentral:rRNA from 1 species